UACGUAGGGGGCAAGCGUUGUCCGGAAUUAUUGGGCGUAAAGAGCGCGUAGGCGGUCCGAUAAGUCGGCUGUGAAAGUCAGGGGCUCAACCCUUGGAAGCCGGCCGAUACUGUCGGACUAGAGUCCGGAAGAGGCGAGUGGAAUUCCCGGUGUAGCGGUGAAAUGCGCAGAUAUCGGGAGGAACACCAAUGGCGAAGGCGGGUCUCUGGGCAGUAACUGACGCUGAGGAGCGAAAGCGUGGGGAGCGAACAGG
rnacentral:rRNA from 1 species